CCGAGUUCUUGCAACUGUCUUCAUAGACGGAAAGGAAAUAUGGAGAAAACUAUCCUCAGUCAAACCUGAACUGUCUCGACUAUCUCUUGAUUGAAUAUUAAAAUUUGACACAAAUUUUCAAGAGUUCAUUGACACUGAUGUAAAUGCAGGAGUACAGGAGCUUGACAAAUUUCAAAUAAAUUAUAUUGCAAGCAACACCCCCGACUCAUUAGAAAGAAGUGUGCACUCAUUACAGUGUCCUUUAACAGAUUCAACUCAGACUGGCACCACAGCUAGUUUGCUGACGCUGCUUGAAGAAAAGCCUCUACAAUCCUGAGAGAACAUGAAGAGACAAAGACUCUGUCCAUUUUCUCAUGAAAGAUUCUUGUUAAAGUUGCUGUCAGUGACCUUGUAGAGAAACAUGCAUUCUAUCCAAUUUGGUACAGAAAAACUGGCACUACCAAAAGAGAUUGUGUCAUUGUUCCCCUCGUUAAGGAUUCAGGUGCCCUUUGGUGAAAAUGAGGGACAUGAGCAUUUUUUGCUGGGCCAUCACACAGUGGAUUUAUUGAAAUGAGAUUACGUAACAUCAGAUGGAAGCUUCAACAGAGCCAGCGGGUGUACAGUUUGAGACAUCGUCAUUGUAC